ensembl:processed_transcript Mrln myoregulin
GGACUUUGGACUUGGCUCCGUUGCACCCCUGAACAGAGGAAGAGACUCACCUUGACAUUAUGUCGUAAUCAGUAAGCAGUUAUGGCAAUCGGGACUAUAACCAUAUUAACAGCACAGGCUAUUCCUUUACUUCAACCACGGUGCCUAUCUUUACUCGGUAUUAGGCUCCCUUCCUGAUGAGAUUUGACUCUGGGCAACAUUGAGUGGGACUUUCCUUAGCCCAGAAAAUAUAACUUGAGCUGGCAGUUCAGAAGUGUAUAGAGCAUACAAAAUCUAUUUACUGUUGAAGGUGCACAGGUUUUCAGUUAAUUCCCAAGUCACU